rnacentral:tRNA from 1 species
UAUAUUAUAGUUUAUUAAUAAAUAUUAAAUUGCAAAUUUAAAGAUAUUAAAUUUUAAAAUUAAUUAAUAUAU